GAGUCUGUCUGCUGUUGUUACAGAAGCAUCAUCAAUAAAUACUGCAGUAAUUGGGACAGCGGCCUGCAACACAAAAAACGAAGGCCCCGCACAGCAGACAUGGACCUCAUGUAAGUGGCUGAGAGUAAAUGCCAAGCAUUUAUCCAUAAAGACUUCAGGAACAUCUGAUGAAAGCCUUUCUGGCCAAGUGUCAGGCAAAUAGUGUCUGUUAUUCAGAAGUCAGGGAGAAUGUGGACUGAUGCAAAGAACAAUUUCUUAAUUGCCAAAUAUGUGGACAUUAGCACAAGAAUGUGAGAGAACAGAAUAUUUGGUCCUGCUGUGUGAGCAGUGCUGUAGCUGCAGGCUGUUUUCUGUAGUAGCGUGUAUUUACUGAAACCACAUUUGUGUGAGCAAGAUGAAGAGAUAGAGGA